AAAGGGUGCGUAGGUGGCCUGUUAAGUCAGGGGUGAAAGACGGUAGCUCAACUAUCGCAGUGCCUUUGAUACUGACGGGCUUGAAUGAACUAGAGGUAGGCGGAAUGUGACAAGUAGCGGUGAAAUGCAUAGAUAUGUCACAGAACACCAAUUGCGAAGGCAGCUUACUAUGGUUUUAUUGACACUGAGGCACGAAAGCGUGGGGAUCAAACAGGAUUAGAUACCCUUGU
rnacentral:rRNA from 1 species